CAGGCUGGCCUCAAACAAUGGUGGUUUUUAAAUGGGGUGACUUUGCCAACCGAGAGCACACCUGACACUAUCUGAAAACAGUUUUCAUGAUCACAGCUGGAGUGUGAGGGUGCAGAUGGUAUCCAGGAUGCUGCUGAGCUUCCCCACAGGAAGUGGGACAGCCCCCACAAUGAAGAUGGUCAUGUCUGAAACAUCACCAGUGUACAGACAGAGAGAUAAUACUAUCAGAACCAUGAAAUCCUGAGCAGAUCUGUGACUCAGCCUUCAGAGGAGAAGACAAACACAUUAUCAGGACGUUUAACACCCGAAAGACUACAGACAGAACCACCAUGACUCACAUAGCAGAGCCAACUGUUUCACCUCACAUACUCCGAAUCUCACCAUCCCA